rnacentral:miRNA from 1 species
AGAGAGAAUAUGAGAGGAGAGGAUGGGAGGGAGGAGUAACAAAAGUGAACAAAAACUAAAAACUGAAGUCUAUUUGAAAUUGUUUUCACUUUCAAGUUUUUGUUUUCACUUUUGUUACUCCUCCCUCUCAUCCUCUUUCUCAAUCUCAUCCUC